GAAGCUUGUCACAUUAUUUUGUCUGACCAAGUCUCUGAUGUAUCUGGCAGGAGACAACAGCAUCUGGUUGGCCUUGUCUAGGCAUAAAAGCUAAACAGAAUACCUUCUUAUAGAAAAUACCUUCUAAUCUUUAGAUGAAGACUACAGGUGGAAGUUGAAAUAUGAAGAAAGUUUUAAAAUCACUUCUGAAUGAUUGCCAAGGAGUCAAGUUCAACCAGAUUACAGAUUAACAGAGUUGGAAGGGACCUUGUAGGUCAUCUAGUGCAACCCCCGCUCUCACAGAAGAUCCUACACCAUUUCUGACAAAUGGUAGUCUCUUCUUGAAAGUCUCAAGUGAUGAAGCUCCCACAACUU